rnacentral:rRNA from 1 species
UACGUAGGGUCCGAGCGUUGUCCGGAAUUAUUGGGCGUAAAGGGCUCGUAGGCGGUUUGUCGCGUCGGGAGUGAAAACACACAGCUUAACUGUGUGCUGGCUUCCGAUACGGGCAGACUAGAGGUAUGCAGGGGAGAACGGAAUUCCUGGUGUAGCGGUGAAAUGCGCAGAUAUCAGGAGGAACACCGGUGGCGAAGGCGGUUCUCUGGGCAUUACCUGACGCUGAGGAGCGAAAGUGUGGGGAGCGAACAGG